CGGCAACCUCUGCCUCCCAAGCAGCUGGGACUACAGGAAUGCUCCACAGUGCCCAGUUAAUUUUUUUUGUAUUCUUAGUAGAGACAGGGUUUCACCAUGUUGGCCAGGCUAAUCUCGAAUUUCUGACCUCAAGUGAUCCACCUCCCAAAGUGCUGGGAUUACAGGCGUGAGCCACCACGGCCGGCUAAUUUUUGUAUUUUUUGGUAGUGACUGGUUUCGCGGUGUUGGCCAGGCUGGGCUCGAACUCCUGAUCUCAGGCGGAUCACCUGAGGUCAGGAGUUGGAGACCAGCCUGGCCAACAUGCUGAAACCCUGUCUGUACAAAAAUACAAAAAUAGCUGGGCAUGGUGGCGCAUGCCUGUAGUCCCAGCUACUCGAGCGACUGAGGCAGGAGAAUCGCUUCAACCUAGGAGGCGGAGGUUGCAGGGAGCCAAGAUGGCGCCACCGCACUCCAGCCUAGGUGAUAGAGUGAGACUCCCUCUCAAAAACAAAACAAAACAAAAAAAUUAGAUAAAUGCUACAUUAAUGUUUGGGUGGUCAGAUUCUACUUUGAAGUCUGAAGUUUGCAGAUAUGCCUAUAGAUUUUUGGAGUUUACCACUUUCUUAUUCUGUAUCAUUAAUGUAAUAUUU
rnacentral:sRNA from 1 species